UCGAAGUAGAAGAAGCUCCAUACGAGACAGAGACCGACUAAGAAGAAGCCCAACACUCCUAGAGACGGCUCGAGGACGAGCCUCGACCUCUUGAAUCUCUUCAGAGCUUCGGAGAUUGGCUUCUCUUCUUCGACUGGUGAGUUCUUGGACAUGUUUUUUGGAGAAAUUCAAUAAGGCAGAGGCAUGUCGAGGAUUGUUAAUGGCUGAAGCUGCUUUGCUUGAAAAGAGAAGACGAAGAAGAGACCAGAGAGCAAAAACAAUGGCGAUUCGGUUCGAAUUCAGACACGAGGAGGAAGUAGAAGAGAAAAGUCUCUUGUUGUCUUUUUGUGUUCACAUUCAACAAGGAGAGAGAGGGGGAAGACGAGUGGCUAUUGGUUGAGAAUCGUGGGUGUUGAAAUAUUGAUUCAUUUAUUUCUUAUUUAACAAAAAUCCAAAAAUUAAUUAAUUCAAUUUAGGGAGAUUGAUUAUUUUCUCAUUGAA